ACCUCGCUGCUGAGUUAGCCUGGCUCUUGAGCCGGGCUGAUAGAAACUCCCCCAAUCCCCACUUGUUUCUGUGUUUAGGGUUUGGCAAACUGGUGUUUUCACUCUCAGGGGCUAGCUCCAUUUGUCUGGCCACUUUUCUGACUACAGUGCUGGGUACUGCACCUUUACAACAAGGCUGUGAGGGCUGAGCACUCAGAGGCAGAGGCUGGGGGAUCCCUGAGUUCAAGGCUACCCAGGGCUACGCAACCCAGAUCGUGGCUCCUAACAGCACAGAACAGAGAGUAGUGGACUAACUGCCAUGUGCAUAUGAUCUGUAGCCUUUACAGUGGCCUUGAAAGUUGCUAAUCCCCAUUACUGAUGAAGAGACUGAAGGUCAUGGGACACAAACUUCAGCUUGGAAGGGCACCUGGUUCCCCAGCAUCCCAGACAACAGUCCCCUGUGUGGCUCCUGGUGUGAUGUGCACUAGGCCCAGAAGGACAUGGAGAGAAUGUGCACAGCCUUGUCCCGGCGCUGGAAAACAGAAGCUAACCUGUAAGCAACUAGAGGAUGUUUUCAGCUCGUGAGGAAGACUUAGCUUUUAAAAAGUAAAAAGCAGGAACAGGAAUAUGCCACCACACCUUGCUGGGAGCAGGGAUAACACGCCCAAAGAAAAGGGAUGAGCCGGGUCACUGAUCCUCACAAGGCCUGAAGAAGAGGUGGGACUCAUCACGAGGCCACAAAGAAAUACACAUUUUUUUUCUGGAGGUGGAUUUUCUGUUUGCUGAACAGAGCAGAUGGCUGUGCUUGAGAGGGGAAAGGAAAUUGCUAACCCUGUCCCCUGGCAUAGAAGAAAAAAUUGACGAAGUCACCAGGCUGGGCUCCAGCCCCUCUUCUGCAGCCUCAGCAGAUUUCUCUGCUGACACUCUGCCAUCAGAGAGUCUUUGAGGAGCACUGCCCCUGCUUCCCU
rnacentral:lncRNA from 1 species